GCUCUGGUAGCUCAGUGGUAGAGCAGCUGGCUGUUAACCAGUUGGUCGGAGGUUCGAAUCCUCUCCGGAGCG
rnacentral:tRNA from 1 species